UACGUAGGGGGCAAGCGUUGUCCGGAUUUAUUGGGCGUAAAGAGCGUGUAGGCGGCCAGACAGGUCCGUUGUGAAAACUCGGAGCUCAACCUCGAGACGCCGAUGGAAACCGUCUGGCUAGAGUCCGGAAGAGGAGAGUGGAAUUCCUGGUGUAGCGGUGAAAUGCGCAGAUAUCAGGAAGAACACCCGUGGCUAAGGCGGCUCUCUAGUACGGUACUGACGCUGAGACGCGAAAGCGUGGGGAGCGAACAGG
rnacentral:rRNA from 1 species